CCUACGGGAGGCAGCAGUGGGGAAUUUUGGACAAUGGGGGCAACCCUGAUCCAGCCAUCCCGCGUGAGUGAAGAAGGCCUUCGGGUUGUAAAGCUCUUUCGGCCGGGAAGAAAUCGUGUGGGCUAAUACCCUGCAUGGAUGACGGUACCGGAAUAAGAAGCACCGGCUAACUACGUGCCAGCAGCCGCGGUAAU
rnacentral:rRNA from 1 species